UCCCUCUUAGGGUCACACCUGGAGAGUUUCUAGUACUCUACCAGUGUCGACUACAGGAGGUAGAGUCAAGCUGAGGCACAGCUAUUCCAUUCUUAGCUUGGGCAGUGGCUAGAGAGUGGAAGGCAAUCAGCUACAAAU